ACGUAGGUGGCGAGCGUUGUCCGGAAUUAUUGGGCGUAAAGCGCGCGCAGGCGGGCUCUUAAGUCUGUUCUGAAAGUUCGGCGCUUAAGUCGGUGAUGGGAUGGAAACUGAGAUUCUUGAGUAUCGGAGAGGAAAGCGGAAUUCCCCGUGUAGCGGUGAAAUGCGUAGAGAUGGGGAGGAACACCAGUGGCGAAGGCGGCUUUCUGGACGAUAUCUGACACUGAGGCGCGAAAGCGUGGGGAGCGAACGG
rnacentral:rRNA from 1 species